GAGCGGUAGAGAGAAGCUUGCUUCUCUUGAGAGCGGCGGACGGGUGAGUAAUGCCUAGGAAUCUGCCUGGUAGUGGGGGAUAACGUUCGGAAACGAACGCUAAUACCGCAUACGUCCUACGGGAGAAAGCAGGGGACCUUCGGGCCUUGCGCUAUCAGAUGAGCCUAAGUCGGAUUAGCUAGUUGGUGAGGUAAUGGCUCACCAAGGCGACGAUCCGUAACUGGUCUGAGAGGAUGAUCAGUCACACUGGAACUGAGACACGGUCCAGACUCCUACGGGAGGCAGCAGUGGGGAAUAUUGGACAAUGGGCGAAAGCCUGAUCCAGCCAUGCCGCGUGUGUGAAGAAGGUCUUCGGAUUGUAAAGCACUUUAAGUUGGGAGGAAGGGCAGUUACCUAAUACGUGAUUGUUUUGACGUUACCGACAGAAUAAGCACCGGCUAACUCUGUG
rnacentral:rRNA from 1 species